AACGAACGCUGGCGGCAGGCCUAAAACAUGCAAGUCGAACGCUGUAGCAAUACAGAGUGGCGCACGGGUGAGUAACGCGUGGGAACGUGCCCUUCAGUACGGGACAACGUCGGGAAACUGACGCUAAUACCGUAUAAUAUCUCCGGAUCAAAGAUUUAUCGCUGAAGGAUCGGCCCGCGUCUGAUUAGUUUGUUGGUGAGGUAAUGGCUUACCAAGACUACGAUCAGUAGCAGGUCUGAGAGGAUGAUCUGCCACACUGGGACUGAGACACGGCCCAGACUCCUACGGGAGGCAGCAGUUAGGAAUAUUGGACAAUGGGGGAAACCCUGAUCCAGCCAUGCCGCGUGUGUGAUGAAGGCCUUAGGGUUGUAAAGCACUUUCGUUGGGGAAGAUAAUGACCGUACCCAAAGAAGAAGCACCGGCUAACUUCGUG
rnacentral:rRNA from 1 species